rnacentral:rRNA from 1 species
GAGUUUGAUCUUGGCUCAGAUUGAACGCUGGCGGCAUGCCUUACACAUGCAAGUCGAGCGGCAGCGCGGGGGCAACCCUGGCGGCGAGCGGCGAACGGGUGAGUAAUACAUCGGAACGUGUCCUGUCGUGGGGGAUAACCAGUCGAAAGAUUGGCUAAUACCGCAUGACCUCGUAAGAGAAAAGCGGGGGACCGUAAGGCCUCGCGCGACUGGAGCGGCCGAUGUCGGAUUAGCUAGUUGGCGGGGUAAAAGCCCACCAAGGCGACGAUCCGUAGCUGGUUUGAGAGAACGACCAGCCACACUGGGACUGAGACACGGCCCAGACUCCUACGGGAGGCAGCAGUGGGGAAUUUUGGACAAUGGGGGCAACCCUGAUCCAGCCAUGCCGCGUGUGUGAAGAAGGCCUUCGGUUGUAAG